rnacentral:lncRNA from 1 species
AGACUUUCAAGAGCUUUCCGCGAUUGAAGACCAAUUCAUCUAAGAUUUUUGUAAUGACAACAAUCUUUACUAUAUUUUCUUUUCUUUUUAUGAUUAGCUAAACCCCCUUAUUGCUAGGGGUGUCCUUGAUUCCAAUUUGUAAUGGUUUUGAAUUACUUUGUGAAAUAACAAUAAUUUUUGUUAUAAUUAAUUUGUUCUUAUGAUUGUUCUU